rnacentral:rRNA from 1 species
AGUCGAGAAUCUUCGGCAAUGAGCGCAAGCUUGACCGAGCGACGCCGCGUGCGGGAUGAAGGCCUUCGGGUUGUAAACCGCUUUGGUCCGAAAGAAAGGGUAAAACUUGAUCGAUCGGAGAAACAAGGACGGGCUAAGUUCGUGCCAGCAGCCGCGGUAAGACGAACCGUCCAAACGUUAUUCGGAAUCACUGGGCUUAAAGGGCGCGUAGGCGGCCGAGCGGGUCGUGGGUGAAAUCCCCCAGCUUAACUGGGGAACUGCUUACGAUACCACUGCGGCUCGAGGAAGGAAGGGGCAAUUGGAACUGUCGGUGGAGCGGUGAAAUGCGUUGAUAUCGACAGGAACGCCUGUGGCGAAAGCGCAUUGCUGGUCCUUUUCUGACGCUGAGGCGCGAAAGCCAGGGGAGCAAA